rnacentral:rRNA from 1 species
CGGAUCGGAGUCUGCAACCCGACUCCGUGAAGCUGGAUUCGCUAGUAAUCGUGCAUCAGCCAUGGCGCGGUGAAUACGUUCCCGGGCCUUGUACACACCGCCCGUCAAGCCAUGGGAGCCGGGGGCACUUGAAGUACGCCGCCGCGAGGAGCGUCCUAGAGUGAAACUGGUGACUGGGGCUAAGUCGUAACAAGGUAUC